rnacentral:rRNA from 1 species
UACGUAGGGGGCAAGCGUUGUCCGGAUUUAUUGGGCGUAAAGCGCGUGUAGGCGGCCAGGUAGGUCCGCUGUGAAAACUCGAGGCUCAACCUCGAGAUGUCGGCGGAAACCGUCUGGCUAGAGUCCGGAAGAGGAGAGUGGAAUUCCUGGUGUAGCGGUGAAAUGCGCAGAUAUCAGGAAGAACACCUAUGGCGAAGGCAGCUCUCUGGGACGGUACUGACGCUGAGACGCGAAAGCGUGGGGAGCGAACAGG